rnacentral:sRNA from 1 species
CACCGAGUCCGCGGCUCCGGUGAUCACCGGAGCCUGGUGCGAAAAGGA